UACGUAGGGAGCAAGCGUUGUCCGGAAUCAUUGGGCGUAAAGCGCGCGUAGGCGGCCCGGUAAGUCCGCUCUGAAAGUCCAGGGCUCAACCCUGGAAUGCGGGUGGAUACUGCCGGGCUAGAGUCCGGAAGAGGCGAGUGGAAUUCCUGGUGUAGAGGUGAAAUUCGUAGAUAUCAGGAGGAACACCAGUGGCGAAGGCGGCUUCCUGGACACCAACUGACGCUGAGACGCGAAAGCGUGGGGAGCAAACAGG
rnacentral:rRNA from 1 species